CCAUACUACAUGCGAGUUGAGACCCAUCUUUUUAUAUAUAAAUAAUGUAACUAUUUUUUCUACAUAAAUAUGUCCUUAUCAAUUUACCUAUCAUGUAUUAGACAUGUCGGUUUUUUUUUUUUUUUUUUGCGCAUAUAUCACCAUAAUUUUCCAACAAAACAAGUAUACUUGAUCAAUACUUUUUUGGGAAUAAAAAUAAUUUGUAUUACAUAGAUAUUAUUAUUGUUUCUUUAGUGUAUAUAUAUAUAUAUUAGGUUAUUUAUGUAUAUCGGUGUGCG
rnacentral:lncRNA from 1 species